rnacentral:lncRNA from 1 species
CAGGUGCAGAGUGUUUGAAAAUAAAUUGUUUUUAUUUAUUUCUGAUAUAAAUAAUAAUUUUUAAAAUAAGUAAAAAAUAAAAUUAAUUUUAUAGUUAGAUGAAAAUUAAAUUAUUAUCAAGAAUAAAAAAAUAGUGUUUGAACAGUUUGAUGGAAAUAGUGAGAAUAAAAGUAAUUAGUUUUAAAAUAAUAAUAUUUUAGCUAAAUAAUUAACAUGAAAAUAUUAAUUAAAUAAUAGUUUAAAUUAUUGAAUUAAUUAAUUAAAUAUGAAUCCUGGUAAACAACCCUAAAUAUUAAUUAACAAUGAGUACUUUUAAUUAAUAAUUUAAUUAACCACAAUUAAAUUAAUAAAUUAAUAAAUUAAUUAGUUAAU